GUAUUGGCACUGUGGAGCGGGGGCCCACUUUCCUCACACUCUACCUCUUCUCAUUGGGGAUGCUGAGAGAGGAGGGAGGGAGGGAGGGAGAGAAGGCAGAAACAGCCACGUAGCUGUCAAAGUCAAACGAAACACCAGAUUUUUGUUCUUAACGGUCGAGAAAUGUUAACUCUUCCGUGGUGUUCGCUGUGACAGACUUAAAUCCCAAAGGCCUUUCCCAAUUCCAUCGCUCAACAUGCUAUACCUGGCAUUUGCUGAAUGCAUCCUGACACAUUCUGUUGCCCUCUUUUUGCUGACCUUUCUCCUCCAUUUGUGUGACCUCAGCAAUUUCCCAAGCUGUUUACUUGCCUCCCCCCAACCCCCGGCCCCAGCCUCUUCCUUCAACGUCCCUUUCUUUGUCAAGGCUUUGGCUUCCAAUCUAGACCUUAGCUUUCCUCAAAUCUUUGUUGUAGCUGUGCCUUCAGCACUGGCCAGUGCCCUGACCUUCCAGAGGCUCUUCUUCCUCGUUUUGUCUUUUUAUGGAAGGUAACAUCCACUUUUCACCAGACCCAACAAGAUUCCAUGUAGACCCCCAUGGCAGUCAGUGCAACCCUUCUAGGAUGCGGUGUGCUGGUAAAAUAUGGCUGUGUUGGAGGAAGAGCUCGGGGUUGGGAGUGGACAGACCUGAGAAUCAGGCAUGACUGUCACUUACCUACCUGUAAGAUGAGAGCACCCAGCCAAGAAUGAUUGUGUGCUUGACCACGAAUUAUUAACAAGAAAGAAGAGGCAGUAAUGUGACUGUGUGGUGAUGAGGCUGAGUCUGACCAAAUCACCCGCUUAGGACAUCUGAGCUUUGCCCCAAAUCCUUUCCAGAUUUCCGUUUCCCUGGGCCACGUUUCCUAAUCUGGAUCACUAAGGCCAGGUACAGCAGCCAGAAGGGCACACAGGAGCAUUUUCUCACAUUCAGUGAGGAUACCAGCUUUGACCUCACUCCUCUAAAAGUUCUUUACAGGACAAGGAGGAGUGACCAAUGAGAGCAUUCCCAGCGAGUGUUCUUGGAUCACAGCAUCAGCUACCUUUGAAAGUCUUUGUCAUUUGUCUGAAGACGUCUUUGGGGAGCAUUGUAAACUUCUACUGUCCAUUAACUGCAGUUUGAGAAGAGUUGGAGGAGCAAGUAUGGAGAGGACAGAAAAGAAAAAGACCCAGUUUUCAAUUCCUGGCACUCAUGUAAGGCAGCUCACAAUUGCCUGUAACUCCAGCUCCAGAAACCCAGCAGGCGCCCUCUCCUGACUUAUAUGACUUUUAUCGUCAGUACAUGUCACAAGAAAACAUUUAAAACGACACCAAAACAAUCUCUGAAAUCAUGGUGCAUGGAGGAAAAAGGUGAAGAAAACAACUGUUGGCUUCUUUUGGCAUGAGACCUUGAUACAAUUUGGGUUCCCCAAAACCACGUGAAGGGUGAUAAAAUAGAAAUGCUCAAAACUGACUUAAAAAAAUAAACAGGCUUUACAAAACCCUCUUUUUUUUCUGAACCCAGCCACUUCUCUACAUGGUCUGCACUUACAGUAGAUACAUUCAUUAUUGUCCAAGGGAAGACAGCCACUGCCUUUCACUUAAAGAGCUUGGUGGAGAGGCUGAAGGGAUACGCUGCAGCCGAAGCUAGGACUGAAAAAAUAAUGUUCCAUGACCAGGGAAAACCACAGUACUGCUCAGAGGGAGAGAUCGAGGGAAGGAGAAAUGCCCGCCCUUGUCUCCAGGGCCUGGUGCUUUAGAGCUGGACUGCUCAGCUGUUCAUUGGAAUGUAAGUCAAC
ensembl:lncRNA LOC102553493 uncharacterized LOC102553493